rnacentral:rRNA from 1 species
CUCAACUGUAGAAUUGCCAUUGAUACUGUUGUUCUUGAGUUAUUGUGAAGUGGUUAGAAUGAGUAGUGUAGCGGUGAAAUGCAUAGAUAUUACUCAGAAUACCGAUUGCGAAGGCAGAUCACUAACAAUACACUGACGCUGAUGGACGAAAGCGUAGGUAGCGAACAGGAUUAGAUACCCUGGUAGUCUACGCCGUAAACGAUGGUUACUAGCUGUUCGGACUAAUUGCGGUCUGAGUGGCUAAGCGAAAGUGAUAAGUAACCCACCUGGGGAGUACGUUCGCAAGAAUGAAACUCAAAGGAAUUGACGGGGGCCCGCACAAGCGGUGGAGCAUGUGGUUUAAUUCGAUGAUACGCGAGGAACCUCACCAGGGCUUAAAUGCAGCUUGACAGGGGUGGAAACACCUUUUCCUUCGGGCAA